GAAGAUCGUAUGAAUUCAUUAAUGAGUGGAGUAGACAAGGUUUUCGCCUCAAAAAUAAAAAUGAAGAGUACGAAAGAAGACAAAAAUAACUGAUCUAAUAAUAAUAAAUAUUGCAAAGCUAUCACUGUAAUCAAUGAGACUAUUAUCCUGGAAGUCUCAUCUCCACCAUCAUCAGCACCUAUUGACGAAGAGGCCGAGUUUACGCCUCCGCAACGAAACAAUUACAUUCAGUUGCUAGACUAAAAACCUUUUGAUCAGACACUCACUUCUACUUGGGAUCGAGAACAGCUUUCUAUUGUACAAGAAAGUACAUUAUUUAUAGCAACCGUAAAGAGGCUCGGUCACGGUGUUUAAAAAAUGUUCGUAUAUUCGGCUAUCAUUUAACGAGCUCCGGUGAUCAAUAGAAGUAAAAUGGCAAAGAAAAUCGAAGAGUGGCUCCGUGAAAAUAUCACGGUAUGUCUCUUGAUAUUGCAGCAUCAAUACAGGGCUUAUCCAAGGAAUGGACAAGAAUUGAAAGGGAAUUCGGAGGAACAUGGUUCCGGUUGGCUUGCCGACAUUACAUCCCAUGAACGUAAACCAAGAAGUGUGUGAAGACAGUGUAGUGUCCCUAUGGCCACGUGUUGUGUCGUCCUAGUUAACAACAUGACCAAUAGCCGUGAUUCUCUCCAGCGAGGUGCGGCAAUAUGAUGCACGAACUCCUAACAUGGAAUGUAGACUAGAACAGGAGCAGAAAUCUAGCAAAGUAUGCAGGGCAGCAUUUACUACGAAGCCAACAACAGGUUAUUAAGCCCAGUUGCUCAGGGGCUGAGGAGUGCACUGAAGAUAUAUGUCAAGUAUCUGUGCUUUUUGGUGUAAAACAAGAAUACCGCUGGAGGUGCAUUCUAGAGCAACUCAGUUGAAUCUUCUAAGGACUAAGGAAUUAGAAUUUUAUAAAAUGGCAUCACCUACAACAAUACGUUUAGGAUGAGCAAUGAAAAUAACGACAGCAGGCUGAAGAAAUUACAAGGAGUACUACGUACAAUCAAAAAAGAUGACCAGACAAUAGCAUAAAGAGUUUACAUGAUGGUAACGUCUUUGAACGAAUGCAUAAUACAUGAUUUGAAAUGCUAAUUGUUUGGUAGAACCUAAUAUUUAGAUUCUUCCACCAGUUGAUAGUAUCACGAAUUCUUGUCUUCCUCAAGAACACAUAAAAAUAAUUUUUCAGAAGCUGUAGCUUAAAGUUCCUGAGCGCUUCUUAGUGAACCUAAACCGAACUUCUCCAAGAAGCACUGAGGGACUUAAGUUGAACUUCCCCACCUGCAUCGCAGAGGCUUUUCAAGCGAUCCUACUUGCCCGCUUUGUGAUUCUGGAGAAGAAAGGGACAGGGACCACUUGCUUCGAUGUGGGACGACUUCGAUUUUGUUUUGUUUUUAGCCCUAUUGCUCUGUUUAUAAGAUUUUAGUUCAAU